rnacentral:miRNA from 1 species
UGGACGGAAGUUUGAUAAGAGA